CGGCGGACGGGUGAGUAACGCGUGGGUAACCUGCCUCAUACAGGGGGAUAACAGUUGGAAACGGCUGCUAAUACCGCAUAAGCGCACAGUACCGCAUGGUACCGUGUGAAAAACUCCGGUGGUAUGAGAUGGACCCGCGUCUGAUUAGGUAGUUGGUGGGGUAACGGCCUACCAAGCCGACGAUCAGUAGCCGACCUGAGAGGGUGACCGGCCACAUUGGGACUGAGACAUGGCCCAAACUCCUACGGGAGGCAGCAUG
rnacentral:rRNA from 1 species